rnacentral:rRNA from 1 species
GACGAAGGGGGCUAGCGUUGUUCGGAAUUACUGGGCGUAAAGCGCGCGUAGGCGGUCUUUCAAGUCAGGAGUGAAAGCCCCGGGCUCAACCCGGGAAUAGCUCUUGAUACUGUUGGACUUGAGUCCGGGAGAGGAUAGUGGAAUUCCCAGUGUAGAGGUGAAAUUCGUAGAUAUUGGGAAGAACACCAGUGGCGAAGGCGGCUAUCUGGACCGGUACUGACGCUGAGGCGCGAAAGCGUGGGAGCAAACAGG